AUGGGAUGCCCUACGACGGGAGUGCGACGACCUCGUUCCCAUCAGCGUCGCCGCCAUCCUAGGGCGUCCACAUCCAGCAGAUCAAGUCCCCGCCGUCGCCGUCACCGUUUGUCUUGUAUCGCUACCCGCCACGUGUCAGCGGCGGUGAGGCUGCAGGCUGCUGCGCGCGGCCUCCUAGCGCGUCGGCGUGUGCGGGAGAUGCGUGGUCUGCAGCUGCUGCUCCUCCAAGUUGCCCUUCGCUGCGCAAAGGAUCUCGAUCUCGUCCGCUGCGUCGGGGAUCUUGGGCAUGCGGUUUCCCCCACGGGCUGCGGGCAUGCUGUUUUCCCCGCGGGCAGCGACCUCAAAGUCUGCAACAUCGGCGGUUGGGGGGGCGCACCCUUCCUCGUCAUUCUCCAUCGCAAGCCCUCCACUCUUCCCUGUGCGGUGCAGACCAACAGCCGUCCGGCGGGGAGAAGGCAGGGUGUCACCGACAAGAGCGCACCGCGUAGCACCACUGCUUUCCGCCGCUGA
rnacentral:rRNA from 1 species